rnacentral:rRNA from 1 species
UACGUAGGGUGCAAGCGUUGUCCGGAAUUAUUGGGCGUAAAGAGCUCGUAGGCGGUUUGUCGCGUCUGCUGUGAAAACCUAGGGCUUAACCCUGGGCCUGCAGUGGGUACGGGCAGACUAGAGUGCGGUAGGGGAGACUGGAAUUCCUGGUGUAGCGGUGGAAUGCGCAGAUAUCAGGAGGAACACCGGUGGCGAAGGCGGGUCUCUGGGCCGUAACUGACGCUGAGGAGCGAAAGCAUGGGGAGCGAACAGG